ACAAACUAGAGGAGAGUAAUUAAAUGAAAACGAUGACAAGGAUGUACAUGUAAAACAUUUAAAGGAUGAGCCACCACCCCCGGCCUGCCUGGCUUUCAAACACAUGAGAAGGUGCUUACCCUCACUUAUAAUAAAAGAAAUAAUUCUAUUAUAUUUCUAAUACAUUACCAAUACAUGGUUUCCAAUACAUAAAUUCAAAGUAUAAGAGGUAUUUUUUAUGUAUUAGAUGAAUAAAAAUUAAAAAUUUUGAUAAAUUUGUAUGUGAAAGAAGAUGUGAAGAAAUAGGUGUUCCAUGCAUUAUUGGUGGAAGUAAAAAUUGGUGCCCUUUCUUUGAAACUAUCAAAUGCACAUAUCUUUUGAUCCAGUAAGCCCGCCUCUACAAAAUUAUCCUACAGAUACACUCACGCAUGUGCACAAAGAUAUCGGCACAAGAAAUUUCCUGCGGCAUUAUUUGAGGAGCA
rnacentral:lncRNA from 1 species